rnacentral:rRNA from 1 species
GCCUUUUAGUUCGUGGAGUGAUCUGUCUGCUUAAUUGCGUUUCAAAUUCUAUUGUUGAGUACCAGGUCCUAAGAGUUUCAAGCAAAUCUGUCUCUGAGUGUGAACUGUAUGUCUUCGGAUAUGCGACUAUCGCUCUAGACAACUAUGAUCUGCUUGUAGCCUCUGGUACUCUUUUGAACGCAACGGACGUGAUUGCAACCCCUUGUUGAGUUUGCUUCUCUUAGGAACUCUACGUCUGCUGAACCACCUACCUUAGCGGGUAGGUGGUGAGGUGGAUAAACUCGGGGGACUGCUGACUAUAACCAUUUCUCAAAACAGAGGAAGGUUGCGGCAAUAACAGGUCUGUGAUGCCCUCAGAUGUCCCGGGCUGCACACGUGCUACAAUGAGUAGCGCAGUGUGCACAUUUUGAAGAGUGAUAGGUGCUGGGGAUUGUAUAUUUCAUGGGCUCGUCCUGGUAACCAACCGCCCCCAGCAUCUAUCAACCUUCCCUUUACAGGGUGGGUAACCUCUUCGAAAUGCUGGUUUGAUUCUCUUAGUGUUUGUCAUUUUAUUCCUCGUCGCAGCUGCUCUAGGACAUAGUGAACACUGUAAAGUGAUUCCCGUCUUAGGCUUGUGACGCGUGCUUUUCCUGGUUGACUCAU